GUUAUUAGCUAUGGUUAUUAUUAUUAGUCAUGUUCGACUUCAUGCUGCGCUGCGAGAACCGACAUCAUACGUUGAUGACGUCAAUGUAUCGCGAGAGCGAGUCAAGAAAUUACACUCUCGCGGUACAUUGACGUUAUCAACCUGUCAGCGCAGCAAGAAGUCGAACACACGUAUUUGCGGGCGCGCGCCUCCGUCCUCGUGAGUUCAAAGUGGAUUUUAACCGUUUACCUCAGACGACAGUUUUCAUUUCUAUGGCAAAUUCUAAGGUCAUCUUCUUGUUGUGUUUUGAUGUUUUCCAUUGGCUGAAGAGCAGAUUACCAUGAAAUUUGAAGAAGUGUGAUAAAAUACACAGAGGUGAAGUCAUGUGUCUUUCCAGAUGCCCAAAUCUGUACCACUCAAAAAGUAAUGAAGUGACAGUGUACCAUGACAAAAAAUCUAAGAUGAGCCUGAAGAGGAGAUUUGGGAAGAUGCUGUUUUAUAAGUCUUUGCUUUGCCAGAUCACCUGUGGAUGCCUUGUUGGUCUGGGCGAGUUUGAAGUCUCUCACAGACAGUCCAGAAGGUCUGGAGUCCAUCUUAGCUUUUAUUGAUGCUGUCAUCAGGUUUUAAGUACAGUAUGAGCCAGAAUGGAAGGGUGUUGGUGGCCAUAAGAAGACUGUGAGCUAAACCUACAACAAAAUUCAUAUUUGCAGUUUUCCUAGAAUAUUUUUUUUCUAUUCAGAUGAAUAAAAUGACUUUAAAAUAUUAUUUUGUUUUCAUAUUUUAUGUUUUUAUUCUGUAUUUGGAAUAUUCCACUUCUGCACUACUAACUGGAAACCUAACUGUUUGAAAGAAUUUGUUUUUAUCUAUAAAAGAUCAAUUUUAACAGCUGCUUUUAUGUUUAUUUAGAAAGGGUAGGCACAUGCCAUCAU